CCUACGGGACGCAGCAGUAGGGAAUCUUCGUCAAUGGGCGCAAGCCUGAACGAGCAACGCCGCGUGAAUGAAGAAGGUCUUCGGAUCGUAAAGUUCUGUUGAUAGGGAAGAAGAGCCGAGAGAGGAACUGAACUCCGUUUGAUAUUACCCAUCGAGAAAGUCACGGCUAACUACGUGCCAGCAGCCGCGGUAAUACGUAGGUGGCAAGCGUUAUCCGGAUUGAUUGGGCGUAAAGGGUGCGUAGGCGGCCUGCUCAGUCU
rnacentral:rRNA from 1 species